rnacentral:rRNA from 1 species
ACAUGUCUGUUUGGAGUUAUAAAGAGUCUAGCCUGCCCACUGAUUAAUAUUUAAGGGCCGCAGUAUUAUAACUGUGCAAAGGUAGCAUAAUCAUUAGGUUCUUAAUUGGAAUCUUGAAUGAAUGGUUGGACAAAAGAAGUGCUGUCUUUAUGUUAAAAUUUUGAAUUUAACUUUUAAGUGAAAAGGCUUAAAUAUUCUAAAGGGACGAUAAGACCCUAUAAAACUUUACAUUAAGAUUAAAUUUUAGUUAAAUUUAAUUAUAAAGAUUUAAUUUAAUUAUUUGUUGUAUUGGGGAGAUAUAGGUAAACCUUUUAUUAACUGCUUAUUGAUCAAACAUUUACUAAUGAAAAGUAAUAGAUCCUUGUUAAAGAUUGUUGAAUUAAGUUACUUUAGGGAUAACAGCGUUAUUUUUUUUGAGAGUUCAUAUCGAAAAAAAAGAUUGCGACCUCGAUGUUGAAUUAAAAUAUCUGUAUAAUGGAGCGAUUAUACAAGAGGGUCUGUUCGACCUUUAAAAUUUUACAUGAUUUGAGUUCAAACCGGCGUGAGCCAGGU